rnacentral:rRNA from 1 species
GACGAACGCUGGCGGCGUGCUUAACACAUGCAAGUCGAACGAUGAACUCCCAGCUUGCUGGGGGGGAUUAGUGGCGAACGGGUGAGUAACACGUGAGUAACCUGCCCUGGACUCUGGGAUAAGCGUUGGAAACGACGUCUAAUACCGGAUAGGACCUCGGAUCGCAUGAUCUGGGGUGGAAAGUUUUUUCGGUCUGGGAUGGACCCGCGGCCUAUCAGCUUGGUGGUGAGGUAAUGGCUCACCAAGGCGUCGACGGGUAGCCGGCCUGAGAGGGGGAGCGGCCACACUGGGGCGGGGACACGGCCCAGACUCCGACGAGAGGGGGGAGUGGGGAAUAUUGCACACGGGGGGCAAGCCUGAUGCAGCAACGCCGCGUGCGGGAUGACGGCCUACGGAUUGUAAACCGCUUUUAGUAGGGAAGAAGGGCUUCGGCUUGACGGUACCUGCAGAAAAAGGACCGGCUAACUACGUGCCAGCCGCCGCAGUAACAC